rnacentral:rRNA from 1 species
GAUGAACGCUAGCUACAGGCUUAACACAUGCAAGUCGAGGGACCGGCGCACGGGUGAGUAACAUGUAUCCAACCUGCCCUUUACUCGGGGAUAGCCUUUCGAAAGAAAUAUUAAUACCCGAUAUAAAGGAUGGGUAUGCGUUGCAUUAGGUUGUUGGUGAGGUAACGGCUCACCAAGGCUUCGAUGGAUAGGGGUUCUGAGAGGAAGGUCCCCCACAGUGGAACUGAGGCACGGUCCAAACUCCAACGGGAGGCAGCAGUGCGGGAUAGUGUGCGAUGGGAGCUAGCCUGAGCCGGCGAAGUAGCGUGAAGGAUGAAGGGGUAUGAGUCAAAAACUUCGUUUAGUGAAGAAUAGGUAUUAUAUGAAUAAGGAUCGGCUAACUCCGUGCCAGCAGCCGCGGUAAUAC